rnacentral:rRNA from 1 species
AGUCAACCUAACUCGUGGACGUGGAUAACCUCGGGAAACUGAGAAUAAACCACGAUAGAUCAUAGUGCCUGGAAUGGCUUAUGGUCCAAACAGUUUACUGCCAUGGGAUGGGACUGCGGCCUAUCAGCUUGUUGGUGAGGUAAUGGCCCACCAAGGCGAUUACAGGUACGGGCUCUGAGAGGAGAAGCCCGGAGAUGGGUACUGAGACACGGACCCAGGCCCUAUGGGGCGCAGCAGGCGAGAAACCUUAGCAAUGUGCGAAAGCACGACUGGGUCAGUCCGAGUGAUUCCUGAUAAAGGAGUCUUUUGCUUGUCCUAAAAGCACAGGUGAAUAAGGGGUGGGCAAGUCUGGUGUCAGCCGCCGCGGUAAUACCAGCACCUCGAGUGGUCAGGACGUUUAUUGGGCCUAAAGCAUCCGUAGCCGGCUCUGCAAGUCUUCGGUUAAAUCCACCUGCUCAACAGAUGGGCCGCUGGAGAUACUACAGAGCUAGGGAGUGGGAGAGGCAGACGGUAUUCAGUGGGUAGGGGUAAAAUCCUCUGAUCCAUUGAGGACCACCAGUGGCGAAGGCGGUCUGCCAGAACACGUUCGACGGUGAGGGAUGAAAGCUGGGGGAGCAAACCGGAUUAGAUACCCGGGUAGUCCCAGCUGUAAACGAUGCAAACUCGGUGAUGCAUUGGC